UACAGAGGUCUCAAGCGUUGUUCGGAUUCAUUGGGCGUAAAGGGUGCGUAGGCGGCGCGGUAAGUCGGGUGUGAAAUCUUGGAGCUUAACUCCGAAACUGCAUUCGAUACUGCCGUGCUUGAGGACUGGAGAGGAGACUGGAAUUUACGGUGUAGCGGUGAAAUGCGUAGAUAUCGGGAGGAACACCAGUGGCGAAGGCGACUACCUGGCCUGUUCUUGACGCUAAGGCGCGAAAGCUAGGGGAGCAAACGGG
rnacentral:rRNA from 1 species